GGGACCAUAGCUCAGCGGUAGAGCAGGCGACUCAUAAUCGCUUGGUCGUAGGUUCGAAUCCUACUGGUCCCACAA
rnacentral:tRNA from 1 species